GCGUGCCUAAUACAUGCAAGUCGAACGAACUCUGGUAUUGAUUGGUGCUUGCAUCAUGAUUUACAUUUGAGUGAGUGGCGAACUGGUGAGUAACACGUGGGAAACCUGCCCAGAAGCGGGGGAUAACACCUGGAAACAGAUGCUAAUACCGCAUAACAACUUGGACCGCAUGGUCCGAGCUUGAAAGAUGGCUUCGGCUAUCACUUUUGGAUGGUCCCGCGGCGUAUUAGCUAGAUGGUGGGGUAACGGCUCACCAUGGCAAUGAUACGUAGCCGACCUGAGAGGGUAAUCGGCCACAUUGGGACUGAGACACGGCCCAAACUCCUACGGGAGGCAGCAGUAGGGAAUCUUCCACAAUGGACGAAAGUCUGAUGGAGCAACGCCGCGUGAGUGAAGAAGGGUUUCGGCUCGUAAAACUCUGUUGUUAAAGAAGAACAUAUCUGAGAGUAACUGUUCAGGUAUUGACGGUAUUUAACCAGAAAGCCACGGCUAACUACGUGCCAGCAGCCGCGGUAAUACGUAGGUGGCAAGCGUUGUCCGGAUUUAUUGGGCGUAAAGCGAGCGCAGGCGGUUUUUUAAGUCUGAUGUGAAAGCCUUCGGCUCAACCGAAGAAGUGCAUCGGAAACUGGGAAACUUGAGUGCAGAAGAGGACAGUGGAACUCCAUGUGUAGCGGUGAAAUGCGUAGAUAUAUGGAAGAACACCAGUGGCGAAGGCGGCUGUCUGGUCUGUAACUGACGCUGAGGCUCGAAAGUAUGGGUAGCAAACAGGAUUAGAUACCCUGGUAGUCCAUACCGUAAACGAUGAAUGCUAAGUGUUGGAGGGUUUCCGCCCUUCAGUGCUGCAGCUAACGCAUUAAGCAUUCCGCCUGGGGAGUACGGCCGCAAGGCUGAAACUCAAAGGAAUUGACGGGGGCCCGCACAAGCGGUGGAGCAUGUGGUUUAAUUCGAAGCUACGCGAAGAACCUUACCAGGUCUUGACAUACUAUGCAAAUCUAAGAGAUUAGACGUUCCCUUCGGGGACAUGGAUACAGGUGGUGCAUGGUUGUCGUCAGCUCGUGUCGUGAGAUGUUGGGUUAAGUCCCGCAACGAGCGCAACCCUUAUUAUCAGUUGCCAGCAUUAAGUUGGGCACUCUGGUGAGACUGCCGGUGACAAACCGGAGGAAGGUGGGGAUGACGUCAAAUCAUCAUGCCCCUUAUGACCUGGGCUACACACGUGCUACAAUGGAUGGUACAACGAGUUGCGAACUCGCGAGAGUAAGCUAAUCUCUUAAAGCCAUUCUCAGUUCGGAUUGUAGGCUGCAACUCGCCUACAUGAAGUCGGAAUCGCUAGUAAUCGCGGAUCAGCAUGCCGCGGUGAAUACGUUCCCGGGCCUUGUACACACCGCCCGUCACACCAUGAGAGUUUGUAACACCCAAAGUCGGUGGGGUAACCUUUUAGGAACCAGCCGCCUAAGG
rnacentral:rRNA from 2 species